AGAACGAACGCUGGCGGCAUGCCUAAUACAUGCAAGUCGAACGAACUCUUCGGAGUUAGUGGCGCACGGGUGCGUAACGCGUGGGAAUCUGCCCUUGGGUUCGGAAUAACAGUUGGAAACGACUGCUAAUACCGGAUGAUGACGAAAGUCCAAAGAUUUAUCGCCCAGGGAUGAGCCCGCGUAGGAUUAGCUAGUUGGUGAGGUAAAGGCUCACCAAGGCGACGAUCAGUAGCUGGUCUGAGAGGAUGACCAGCCACACUGGGACUGAGACACGGCCCAGACUCCUACGGGAGGCAGCAGUGGGGAAUAUUGGACAAUGGGCGCAAGCCUGAUCCAGCCAUACCGCGUGGGUGAAGAAGGCCUUCGGGUUGUAAAGCCCUUUGUGGGAAAGAAAUCCUGCC
rnacentral:rRNA from 1 species